GCCUGGUUAGCUCAGUGGUUAGAGCUGGUGACCCACGUACCGAGGCUGAGUCCUUGCAGCAGCAGCCCACGGUUCGAAUCCGAGCUGGGGCC
rnacentral:tRNA from 1 species